rnacentral:rRNA from 1 species
GAUGAACGCUGGCGGCGUGCCUAAUACAUGCAAGUCGAGCGAACAGACGAGAAGCUUGCUUCUCUGAUGUUAGCGGCGGACGGGUGAGUAACACGUGGAUAACCUACCUAUAAGACUGGGAUAACUUCGGGAAACCGGUGCUAAUACCGGAUAAUAUUUUGAACCGCAUGGUUCAAAAGUGAAAGACGGUCUUGCUGUCACUUAUAGAUGUAUCCGCGCUGCAUUAGCUAGUUGGUACGGUAACGGCUUCCGAAGGCAACGAUGCAUAGCCGACCUGACAGGGUGAUCGGCCCCACUGGAGCCGAGACACGGUCCAGGCUCCUACGGGAGGCAGCAAUAGGGAAGGGUCGGCAAAGGGCGGAAGCCUGACGGAGCAACGGCGCGUGAGUGAAGAAGGGCUUCGGGUCGGAAAACUCUGUUAUUAGGGAAAAACAUAUUUGGAAGGAACUGAGCACAUCGUGACGGUACCUGAUCAAGAAGCCACGGCUAACUACGUG